GAGGCCUAACACAUGCAAGUCGAACGCUCUCUUCGGAGGGAGUGGCGCACGGGUGAGUAACGCGUGGGAACCUACCCUGGGGUACGGAAUAACAGCGGGAAACUGCUGCUAAUACCGUAUACGCCUUUAGGGGGAAAGAUUUAUCGCCCUGGGAUGGGCCCGCGUCCGAUUAGUUAGUUGGUGGGGUAACGGCCUACCAAGGCUUCGAUCGGUAGCUGGUCUGAGAGGAUGAUCAGCCACACUGGGACUGAGAUACGGCCCAGACUCCUACGGGAGGCAGCAGUGGGGAAUCUUGGACAAUGGGGGCAACCCUGAUCCAGCCAUGCCGCGUGAGUGAAGAAGGCCUUAGGGUUGUAAAGCUCUUUCAGUGGUGACGAUGAUGACGGUAGCCACAGAAGAAGCCCCGGCUAACUCCGUGCCAGCAGCCGCGGUAAUACGGAGGGGGCAAGCGUUGUUCGGAAUUACUGGGCGUAAAGGGCGCGUAGGCGGCCUGUGCAAGUUAGAGGUGAAAGCCCCGGGCUCAACCUGGGAAUUGCCUUUAAAACUGCUGGGCUUGAGUCCGGAAGAGGAUGGCGGAAUUCCCAGUGUAGAGGUGAAAUUCGUAGAUAUUGGGAAGAACACCAGUGGCGAAGGCGGCCAUCUGGUCCGGA
rnacentral:rRNA from 1 species